rnacentral:lncRNA from 1 species
UAUAUUUCUUUCCUUAGAUUUAUACGGUGCUUCCACUUCAAAGAGCUCCCUUCAAGUGUCCAUACACUAAACAUCCUCUGAAACAGAACAGACCUAACGGAACUAAAGUGUAACCCUGCCCAGAGAGGAAGGAAUUGGUCAAAAGCCAUUGUGGAGGGGGCCUGGGUCCCUGUGCUUACUUCUGAAGGGGCCACCAGCAGAUGCAAAAGAGGAAUCUUGCAGUGUGUUCAUGGAAUGCUACCUGGCAGUCAAAUGGCCGGCAUGGAACAAAGCUCAUGCCAAAAGCCUUCUCUGCCUCUCUCCCUCAGCACGGUGUCCUCCAGAU